UACAGAGGGUGCGAGCGUUGUUCGGAAUUAUUGGGCGUAAAGGGCGCGUAGGCGGUGCGGUAAGUCACCUGUGAAAUCUCCUGGCUCAACUGGGAGCUUGCAGGCGAAACUGCCGUGCUGGAGUGUGGGAGAGGUGCGUGGAAUUCCCGGUGUAGCGGUGAAAUUCGUAGAUAUUGGGAAGAACACCGAUGGCGAAGGCAGCCAUCUGGACCGACACUGACGCUGAGGCGCGAAAGCGUGGGGAGCAAACAGG
rnacentral:rRNA from 1 species